GGCGUGGAAUCAUGGCCACUAUGGUUGCUGUUUGCGGUGGUCUAGGGAGGAAGAAGUUGACACACUUGGUAAUGGCUGCUGUCAGCCUUACACAUCCCGGGAUUCACAUGGUGCUGUGGCGAAGAGGUUGUUCGCAAUAUAAACAGGUAUCCAGCAAUGAGGACCUGCCCGUUCCAAUGGAAACCCUUAGAGAGAACCACUUAAGAAGUGUAUCUUGUGUGGAAAGCGUGUGGAUUAUAAGAAUGUACAGCUUUUGUCCCAGUUUGUUUCUCCAUUUACUGGGUGCAUUUAUGGAAGGCACAUUACAGGUCUUUGUGGGAAGAAACAGAAAGAAAUCACAAAAGCAAUUAAGAGAGCUCAAAUAUUGGGGUUUAUGCCAGUUACAUACAAGGAUCCUGCAUAUCUCAAGGACCCUAAAGUUUGUAAUAUCAGAUAUCGGGAAUAAAUUCUAUCAUGUUACCACCAAUAAACUUACCUUACAAUA